UAAUCCAUUCAUACACCGCCACUGAAGCAGCAGGAGCAAUGCGGGGUUAAGUGUCUUGCUCAAGGACACAUUGGACAAGUUACUCAGCUGGGGUUUGAACCCUUGAACUUCUGGUUGAGAGGUGACGACUAUACCAACUGAGCCACAGCCGCCAUGUUCUUAUGUGUUUUUCAGUCAUCAUUCAGACGUAGAGGAUUACGAGCAGACCCUGAAGGCAGCAUCGGUCAGCAGCACUAAAGACUUUGGGGGCGGGUCCUCCAGCUCUCAGCCUGUCAUUAGGUUGACUGAAAGUUAGACUGAGACAGGAUAUCCAACAUGGCGGCUGCUGCCGAUGAGCCUCCAGAGCCCCCUGCAGGAACAGAUGGGUGACGUCACUCUGCACAGAGCUGCAUGGUAGCACAUCACUUAGGGUAGCACUAUUUGAUAGCAUGCCAACAUAACUUUAAAUAUGUUUGUUUUUCUUUUUUGUAUAUUUCUCUCUUUAAUAAAAAAUAAUGAAUGAAUCAGAAGAGGACUAUUCAACAGAUAUACACUGGUAUCAAAGGAGUCUAUAAAGUGAUCUAGUGGGAAUAACUCCAGCUGUAUUUGAUGUCAGCAUUGUGCUGUUGCUCGGGCCUUGCAUGCCUGACAGAAAAUCCAUUUCAAUAUAUGGCUGAAAUGAAACGUAAGGGAUUACAGCUGCUGCUUCUUGUCUGGUUUGCAGCGACGCAAUGAUUCUGUAUUUUAUAAUUAACUCCUUAUCUAGAUUUCUUUUUUAGACUUUUUUUUUGUCUUUAUUAAAAAUGACAUUUUCAGCAUAAACUGUUUUAUAAAAGUCUGACUGAAGCUGUUCUUUGGUGUUGUUUAAUCCAUCACAUGUAAUGCAUGUAAUAUACAUUUUACAGCUCUACAUAUUUUAUGGCUUGAUAGAAGUAUAUCAGACAUGCGCAUUGAACCCUCAUUUGCAUAAACUAAAGCUGCAUAAUCUGUGGCUCUCUCCUAAAGUCGCGACAUAUUUAUAAAAACUCCAAAGUUCCAGUUAGUCAACACAUUAAAACAAGUUAAAUCCAGAGUUUUCUCUGUUUGGAGCUUAACAUGUUUCCCCCUUCUCCUUACACUCCCUCCUUCCACCGCUAGAGGGCGGUGUAACACAAAAUGAUGAUUAUUAUCAUUUUUACGUCAUUUUAGAAAACCAACACUAAUUUGCCAAAGCUCGUGAAAUAAUGUAAUGUUAGAUAAAUGGGCUGUGUUGAUAUCUUCUCUCUUGUUUGACUCUGAUAGGCGUACACCUGUCACGUGGUUCCCUUAUCAGUCAGAAAGCAUCAAGUACACGUUGCAUCCAAAACAAAAGUGAAAGUGUUUUUGUUUGUGCGCAGACGGGGAGCAGUUCAGCCUGAGAGAGAGGAAUGACAGAGACAUUAGAAACAAAUUAUCAAUCUAUUCCGAACAUGGACCAGGAAGGGGCCACCCUGUCCGGGAAAAAGUUCAAUGUCUUGGUGUCGGAAC